rnacentral:rRNA from 1 species
GCCUAGCCCUAAACUUAGACAGUACAAACACAAUACUGUCCGCCAGAGAACUACAAGCGAAAAACUCAAAACUCUAAGGACUUGGCGGUGCUCCAUAUCAACCUAGAGGAGCCUGUCCUAUAAUCGAUACCCCACGUUAAACCUUACCAUCUUUGGCCACUCAACCUAUAUACCGCCGUCGUCAGCCUACCUUAUGAAAGAAAUACAGUAAGCGAAGCAGUCAAAAACUAACACGUCAGGUCAAGGUGUAGUACAUAAGAUGGAAGAGAUGGGCUACAUUUUCUAAACCAGAAUACACGAACGGGGUAAUGAAAUACACCCCUAAAGGUGGAUUUAGCAGUAAGAUACAUAAGAAACACCAUCUUAAGCUCGCUCUGGAG